GGAGUGCUUUGUAAACCGUAAUGGGUCAAGCGAAUGUAAGUUGGUUCACUAAAUGCCUGUAUUUAUACGUAUGUGAGUAUAGACGCGCACACACCCCCUGAGCUGUCCCCUGGGGUUCGUGGUGGGGUGGGGACUGGGAGGUCUGGCUGGAGGGCACUGCGACGGGCUUGCCUUGGCUCAGAGCGUGAUCCUGCGACCCCAGCGUGCAGCCACACUUCCUCCAGGCUUUAGAGACCCAUCCAUUAGCUCCCAUCAGUCUGCACGUCUCACACGCAGAUGAGAGAUUUGCCUAAAAAUCCCUGUCAGAACAAUUCAGAGCUGGGGAGAGGGGUUUGCUAAAGCUGAUGGAUUAAGUUCUUGUCCCCGCCUACUCUUGGAAUCCCUGUGUGUGGUUCUGGGGUUACACUUUUGUCUUAUAAAAAUAUCUGCACCCUGGAUAUUUAUUGCUUGCACGCCCUUAUUUUUAGUAGUGCUGUCUUUCUCGGUUUAUAGAGUCCCAUUUGUCUCAUCCAAGAGCGAAAAAAGAAGGUAUUUCUUCUUGACGUCUUUCCUGAUUCCCUGCCCCUCCCCCCUUUAAUGGCAUCGCAAAUGCUGGAUGGAUCCCCCCUCCCCCGCUGACCCUGGCAGCAUCUUUCUCCGUGGUGUCCUAGUUGGGGUCUGCAGCAGGCAGCUUGGGGAUGUGUUAACUAAAACGUGGGUGUUCUCUCCAAAGAACAGUAAAACAGCCACAGAGCGCCCCAGCUUGAUUCGUUUGGGGGUAUUUCUGCUUCUGAAGCACAUCAGUUGGGUGCCCCAUUGCUAAGGCUUGGUGGCGGUAAAUGCUGCUUCCAAAACCGGUGGCUUCUUUCAAGUGCAGACGGUAACACAGGAUGCUUCCCCGGUGAGUGAAUCAGCUGAAUGCACAAGGAAGUGAAUUGGCAGGAGCUGGCGAUGCCUUCUCUUGAUCCUCCCAGAAAGCUGAGAGAUCUGUGUGCAGGUCCCAACUUAGCACUUCUCCACUCAAGCCAGUUUCCUCUUCUGCGAAGGUAUUAUGUCCUGUCUGCUGAUAGAAAGGUUUCGUCUCAGCAGGGGCUCACCCCUGCGGGACGGUUUUCCCCUGACUUAAGAGGGAAGAUGGGGGUUCCAGAGAAACGGCGACCUCAUCCUUGGGUGGCUGCUAUAAUUUACAGCAGUGAUUGUCAGCCCCGGCUGCACAGUAGCGUCAUCUAGAGGAGACUUUGGGGAAAAAGCCAGGCUGGUACCCACACCAAGUUGGAGGCGCUGCAGGUGGGGCCCGGGCAGAAUUUUUCAGAAGCUCCUUAGGUUGAGAACUGCUAACUGAGGAAGAAGUGCUUGAGGAUUUCGGGAGUGAAGGACCUUAGAGAGGCCCAGGCCUGUCCACUGUCACUUGUGCAGUGGGACUUACUGUGGGAGGCCACAAAGGCCGGCAUCUCACGCAUAUUACCCUGAGGCUGAGCCUCUCAGGAAUGAUGAUGAAGCAUCCUUGCAUUUCACCGAAAGGGGCAAAGGAGACGCCAGAGGUCAGGUAACUCAUCCAAGGCCGGAGGAAGUACUGGGGCCCGGCUUUGAACUCUGUGGUUCUAGACCCUCUCAGCCACGUGCUAUUGUACUGCCAACUGAUGCGCUGAACGCCGGUCCUUCAGCGGCUGGCAGAGACUGCGGCUGUGUUGAGAGGGCGGUUCGCUGGGUAGAGAUUAGGCAGAGUUAAAACGUGCUGGGAAGUAGUGGAUGCAGGUGGCCUGCACCACAUAGAACAGAAGCACUUUUGAAAGAGGCUUUGCGGGGCCCGGGUUCUCCCGCCCGCAGACCCCAGCAACCCCUCCCCACCGCGAGGAGCUCGCGUGAAUGUGGCUUCUUAUCACGGAUGGAUCGGACUCUUGGGCUGAUGUGAUCCCAGGAGAGGAGGCUUUGUGUCCAGCGGGCCACAGCCAAGCGUCCGCUGUCCCUUCCUGCCGUCCAUUCUCCCAGGGCCAAGCACGUGGACCUUGUUUCCCAGAGAGCCCUUCACGGAUGCUGUCACCGCAGAGUCACAGCAAGGCUUUCUGAGCCGCGUGUGGUUUGCCCUUUCGGGGGGGGGGGGCAGGUCGCCAUGGUUACUGCAGACGCGGCAGGGCCGUCUUGGGCACCGACCCCGCCCACACCCGCGGUUACGCCGGCACUAUUUUCCAUCCGCCCCCACCCCCACCCCAAACUCGCUGGAGCAUAACUUAGCUACUCAGAAGAGAAGAGUGUGCGUCACGUGGCAUCUUUUUGAGGUUAGCAUUUCAGAGCGCCUGCGGGUACAAAGCUUGGGGGCGCAGAUCAGGGAGCAUCAGCAGAGUGUCUUCCUUGGGUUUAUUUUACUUGCAGAGCCUGCGUUUGGAGUCCCUCAGUACCGCUGGCUGGGAGUCUGUGCUGCCUGCUUGAGGCAGUGGGUUCCAGCAGCCGGAGAGGUUGGCAGCUCAGUCAGGGAGCAGGGCUGGACCGCGAACCGCUCGUGCAGCCUCUGUCCCCGGGCUGCACGCGGAUGUCGGCUUCCUCACCCUCCGACUUCUGUGCGUCCCCUGCCCCACAAGUACUUUUUGGAAAACCUUGCGGUAAACUCCGUACCUGUCUUCUCUGACCCCUGUGCUGCUGGGGAGGAGGAGGAAGAGGCAGAGUUCCAGGGAGGAAGGUGUGACAGAUGAGAGGGGGCGGAGGGGCUGCAGAGAAGAGGAAGCUGAGGGUGGGAGGGGAACCCAGGCAGGAGCAGGUGACUGGAGGACCACGAAGGUACUUGCCAUGGGCUGUGAGUUUAAGGGGGCGGGGGUAAGACCCGAGGGGUUCACUACAAAGUUUUGUGGCUCCUUUGCUCCCUUGGGGACCGCGGGUGGAGGGGCCCCAGCGGGCACGUUUGACAGUCCCUCUGGCAGCUCCUUGAACCUCAUGCAAGAAGCCCAAGGAAGGAGUUCCCGUGGUGGCUCAGUGGUUAGUGAAUCCGACUAGGAACCAUGAGGUUGUAGGUUUGAUCCCUGGCCUUGCUCAGUGGGUUAAAAGAUCCGGCGUUGCUGUGAGCUGUGGUGUAGGUCGCAGACUCGGGCUUGGAUGCUGUGUUGCUGCGGCUCUGGUGUAGGCCGGUGGCUACAGCUCUGAUUCGACCCGUAGCUUGGGAACCUCCAUAUGCCCUGGGAGUGGCUCAAGAAAAGACAAAAAAAAAAAAAAAAAAAAAAAAA
rnacentral:lncRNA from 1 species